rnacentral:rRNA from 1 species
UGCGUGACCAACCUCGCCCCACUGCUCCAGAAUAGCUCUUGGAAACGGGUGGUAAUGCUGGAUGCUCCAACUUGACGCAUGUCUUGUUGGGAAGUGUUUAGUGGCAUGGGAUGGGGUCGCGUCCUAUCAGCUUGUAGGCGGGGUAAUGGCCCACCUAGGCUUCGACGGGUAGCCGGCCUGAGAGGGCGGACGGCCACAUUGGGACUGAGAUACGGCCCAGACUCCUACGGGAGGCAGCAGCC